CCCCAAGCAUAAUAUUCUUUGAUGAUGCUGAUUCAAUUGGUGCCAAAAGGUAAUUGUUUCAAUUUUUCCUGGCGGAACCUUACAAUUAAAUAGUGGCUGUAUAAUAGUCAUAUUCCAUUCAGUUUCAACUGCAUACUUCCUACCAACCAUUCUCAGUCUGAUUAUAGUUUGGUGAUUGAUAUUAUUGAGUUGGAUAGUUUUAAUUCCCGCAAAAACAGGCGCAAGUUGGAAACUCGUGGAAUUUCAAAUGUGCACCUUUUAAUACAUCAUAUUUCUGCGUGCUGUGAAAUUCAAAAGCAUCUGAUAUACUGUAUAAAUUAUAUAAUUGUUUUAUAACAGAAAACAUGAAAUUCCUCUUUGUUAAUUUGUAUAACCGUCGUGAAUUCUCCAGGUGAAUUAUCUCAGAAUUUCUGUCAUCCUGCUUUAAAUUUGAAUUUAUUUAGUUGAAAUGUUGAUUGGUAAAGCUGUGUAGUUGCCAGGCCCAUCUUCUUGAUCAAUUUUUCAUAUAUACAAUACAUAAAUACGUACGUACAUUAAUUUGUACAAUCGUCGCAAAUUGUCCAGGUGAAUUAUCACAGAAUUUCUGUCAUCCUGCUCUAAAUUCGAAUUUAUUUAGUUGAAUUUUGAUUGGUAAUGGCGUAAUGCUUAGUAGUACCAGGACUAUGUUCUUGAUUAGUUUUUCAUACACACAGAGUACAAUCAUCAUGAAUUGUCCAGGUGAAUAAUCUCAAAAUUUCUGUCAUCCUUCUUGAAGUUAGAAUUUAUUUAGUUGAAAUGUUGAUUGGUAAAGCAGUGGUAGUUUGCCAGGCCUAUGUUCUUGAUCAUUUUUUUACGCGCGCGCGCGCGCGCACACACACACAAACUUGAUUGGUUUUGAAGGUUCAUAUGAAAUUUCACUCUGUAUUACCAUGUUUUCAGCUAACCCUCAUGANN
rnacentral:lncRNA from 1 species